UGUGUAGGCGGUUGUUUAAGUUUGGUGUGAAAUCUCCCGGCUCAACCGGGAGGGUGCGCCGAAUACUGAGCGACUAGAGUGCGGGAGAGGAGAGUGGAAUUCCUGGUGUAGCGGUGAAAUGCGUAGAUAUCAGGAGGAACACCGGUGAUGCAGACGGCUCUCUGGACCGCGACUGACGCUGAGACACGAAAGCGUGGGUAGCAAACAGGAUUAGAUACCCUGGUAGUCCACGCCCUAAACGAUGCAUAUUUGGUGUGGGUCAUUCAGUUGAUCCGUGCCGGAGCUAACGCGUUAAAUAUGCCGCCUGGGGAGUACAGUCGCAAGGCUGAA
rnacentral:rRNA from 1 species